GGAGAGGUGCCGGAGCGGCUGAACGGGACAGUCUCGAAAACUGUUGAAGGGGUAACCCUUCCGAGGGUUCAAAUCCCUCUCUCUCCGCCA
rnacentral:tRNA from 1 species